UACGGAGGGGGCUCGCGUUGUUCGGAAUUACUGGGCGUAAAGCGCGCGUAGGCGGCUUUGUAAGUUAGAGGUGAAAGCCCGGGGCUCAACCCCGGAAUUGCCUUUAAGACUGCAUCGCUAGAAUCAUGGAGAGGUUAGUGGAAUUCCGAGUGUAGAGGUGAAAUUCGUAGAUAUUCGGAAGAACACCAGUGGCGAAGGCGACUAACUGGACAUGUAUUGACGCUGAGGUGCGAAAGCGUGGGGAGCAAACAGG
rnacentral:rRNA from 1 species